GGGUGUUUCCAAUCCAUCCUUCACUCUGCUGGUUACUCUUAGGCUUUUACUAGUCACUUUCGAGAACGGGCUCUCCCCUCUGUUGCACACUUUUCCAGGUGGACUCUUCACCAUCUGAGCCACCAGGGAAGCCCAAGAAUACUGGAGAGGGUAGCCUAUCCCUUCUCCAGGGGAUCUUUCUGGCCCAGGAAUCAAACCAGGGUCUUCUGCAUUGCAGGUGGAUUCUUUACCAACUGAGCUACCAGCGAAGCCCUGGAAAGCUCAACUAAGUUGUCAAAUACCAUCAAGGAUCCAGGUCCCACCACCCUGCUGUAUUGCCAUCCUCAGAGGACUGGGUGUCCUCAGCACAUCCCUUCCCUGUUCCAAGGAGGCUGUGGCUUCAAGCUUCUCAUCUCCAGAGGAUACGGUUCAACAGAGCCAGGAAAGAGGCAGGAGUGAAACAAAGAAUACAAAUA
ensembl:lncRNA